UGAGAGUGUGGUGUUGAAAUCUCCUACUAUUAUUGUAUGAGGUGCAAUGUGUGUUUUGAGCUUUAGUAAGGUUUCUUUUACGUAUGUAGGUGCCCUUGUAUUUGGGGCAUAGAUAUUUAGGAUUGAGAGUUCAUCUUGGUGUAUUUUAGAUGGAUAUUAAAUUUAGAUGGAUAAUUAGAUUUUAGGUGGAUAUUAGAAUGGCAACUCCUGCUUGCUACUUCCGACCACUUGCUUGCAAAGUUGUUUUCCAGCCUUUCACUCUGAGGUAGUGUCUGUCUUUGUCUCUGAGGUGUCUUUCCUGUAGGCAGCACAAUGCAGGGUCCUCAUUGCGUAUCCAGUUUGUUAAUCUAUGUCUCUUUAUUGGGGAGUUGAGGCCAUUUAUGUUGAGAGAUAUUAAAGAAUAGUGAUUAUUGCUUCCUGUCGUAUUCAUAUUUGGAUGUGAGGUUAUGUUUGUGUGCUUCUCUUCGCUUUGUUUUGUUGCCAAGACGAUUAGUUUCUUGCUUCUUCUAGGGUAUAGCUUGCCUCCUUAUGUUGGGCUUUACCAUUUAUUAUCCUUUGUAGUGCUGGAUUUGUAGAAAGAUAUUGUGUAAAUUUGGUUUUGUCAUGGAAUAUCUUGGUUUCUCC
rnacentral:lncRNA from 1 species